ACCUGGCUGGCUUAACUGGUAGAGCAUGAGACUCAUAAUCUCAGGGUUGUGAGUUCAAGUCUUGUGUUGGGUG